GCCCCAGUAGCCUAAUGGAUAAGGCAUCGGUCUCCUAAACCGGGGAUUGUGGGUUCAAGUCCCACCUGGGGUA
rnacentral:tRNA from 1 species